rnacentral:rRNA from 1 species
UACGUAGGGUGCAAGCGUUGUCCGGAAUUAUUGGGCGUAAAGAGCUCGUAGGCGGUUCGUCACGUCGGCUGUGAAAUCCCGAGGCUCAACCUCGGGUCUGCAGUCGAUACGGGCGGACUUGAGUACUGCAGGGGAGACUGGAAUCCCUGGUGUAGCGGUGAAAUGCGCAGAUAUCAGGAGGAACACCGGUGGCGAAGGCGGGUCUCUGGGCCGUAACUGACGCUGAGGAGCGAAAGCGUGGGGAGCGAACAGG